rnacentral:tRNA from 1 species
AAGAAAGACCCAAGAACUGCUAAUUCCUGAUUCCAUGGCUAACCCCAU